rnacentral:rRNA from 1 species
AUUGAACGCUGGCGGCAUGCCUUACACAUGCAAGUCGAACGGCAGCACGGGUGCUUGCACCUGGUGGCGAGUGGCGAACGGGUGAGUAAUACAUCGGAACGUACCAUAUCGUGGGGGAUAACGCAGCGAAAGCUGUGCUAAUACCGCAUACACCAUGAGGGGGAAAGCGGGGGAUCGCAAGACCUCGCGCGAUUAGAGCGGCCGAUGCCUGAUUAGCUAGUUGGUGGGGUAAAAGCCCACCAAGGCGACGAUCAGUAGCUGGUCUGAGAGGACGAUCAGCCACACUGGGACUGAGACACGGCCCAGACUCCUACGGGAGGCAGCAGUGGGGAAUUUUGGACAAUGGGGGCAACCCUGAUCCAGCAAUGCCGCGUGAGUGAAGAAGGCCUUCGGGUUGUAAAGCUCUUUUGUCAGGGAAGAAACACCGGCUCUAACACAGUCCGGGAAUGACGGUACCUGAAGAAUAAGCACCGGCUAACUACGUGCCAGCCGCCGCGGUAA